rnacentral:misc_RNA from 1 species
GAUGAAGAACGUAGCGAAAUGCGAUACUUGGUGUGAAUUGCAGAAUCCCGUGAACCAUCGAGUCUUUGAACGCAAGUUGCGCCCGAAGCCAUUAGGCCGAGGGCACGCCUGCCUGGGCGUCACACGUCGUUGCCCCCCCCAUCUACUCCUUCGGGAUUGCGCGGGGCGGAUGAUGGCCUCCCGUGCGCCUCGCCGCGCGGUUGGCAUAAAUGCCAAGUCCUCGGCGACGCACGCCACGACAAUCGGUGGUUGCGAAACCUCGGUUGCCCGUCGUGUGCGGUCGUCGCGCAUCGAGGGCUCGAAAAAAUUGCCGAGUUCCGGCUCGGCUUUCAACGCGACCCCAGGUCAGGCGGGGUUACCCGCUGAAUUUCAGCAUAUCAAUAAGCGGAGGA